AACGCUAGCUACAGGCUUAACACAUGCAAGUCGAGGGGCAGCGGGAUUGAAGCUUGCUUCAAUUGCCGGCGACCGGCGCACGGGUGAGUAACGCGUAUCCAACCUUCCGCUUACUCGGGGAUAGCCUUUCGAAAGAAAGAUUAAUACCCGAUGGUAUCUUAAGCACGCAUGAGAUUAAGAUUAAAGAUUUAUCGGUAAGCGAUGGGGAUGCGUUCCAUUAGGCAGUUGGCGGGGUAACGGCCCACCAAACCCACGAUGGAUAGAGGUUCUGAGAGGAAGGUCCCCCACAUUGGAACUGAGACACGGUCCAAACUCCUACGGGAGGCAGCAGUGAGGAAUAUUGGUCAAUGGGCGAGAGCCUGAACCAGCCAAGUAGCGUGAAGGAUGACGGCCCUACGGGUUGUAAACUUCUUUUGUGCGGGAAUAAAGGAACCUACGUGUAGGUUUUUGCAUGUACCGUAACGAAUAAGCAUCGGCUAACUCCGUGCCAGCAGCCGCGGUAAUACGGAGGAUGCGAGCGUUAUCCGGAUUUAUUGGGUUUAAAGGGAGCGUAGACGGGUUUUUAAGUCAGCUGUGAAAGUUUGGGGCUCAACCUUAAAAUUGCAGUUGAAACUGGAGACCUUGAGUACGGUUGAGGCAGGCGGAAUUCGUGGUGUAGCGGUGAAAUGCUUAGAUAUCACGAAGAACUCCGAUUG
rnacentral:rRNA from 1 species